GUGCUUGCUUUGGCAGCACAUAUACUAAAAGUGGAAAGAUACAGAGAUUAGCCUGGCAUCUGCAGAAGGACGACAUGCUAAUUCCUGAAGUCUGCCAUAUGUUU